AGGAAAGGAGGUGAAGAGAUGGAAGAAAGAUGAGCGGAGUGGAGCUGACUGAGUCGCCAAUAUAUCAGUGUUAGCGUUUGUUCCACUGUUCCUCCUUGCCCGCAUCCUCAGAGGAUCCAGCAGAGCAGAUACCAGCGGAUUCAUCUCUCCUGCAAAAUACAAAUGUUGAAACCUUUCCUACCCUCCACCACUUCACCUCUACAAUUCACCAAAUGAAGCGUCUGCUCAAUGAUCUGUUGACCGAGACAGAAACUCCCCAAACCUGUUGCAGAGCCGUGCCUGCUCCCAAAGGAGAUGGAAAUAGCCAGAGCAGCAUGUGGCUGCUGGCAACAGUUCAACUGCCUUUCACCACGCUGUGUGUCGUACUGCAGGACUGUGCAGUCCAUCUGAGCAAGAUGAAGAAGGAGGAAGAGAGAGAGGAGAGGAGGAG